GCGAAAUCUAGGCAGUCCGACCCGGGA
rnacentral:sRNA from 1 species